UAMAUGCAAGUCGAACGCGUUGGCCCAAUUGAUUGAUGGAWGCUUGCACCUGAUUGAUUUUGGUYGMRCARCGAGUGGCGGACGGGUGAGUAACACKUWGGUAACCUGCCCAGAAGCGGGGGACAACAUUUGGAAACAGAUGCUAAUACCGCAUAACAACGUUGUUCGCAUGAACAACGCUUAAAAGAUGGCUUCUCGCUAUCACUUCUGGAUGGACCUGCGGUGCAUUAGCUUGUUGGUGGGGUAAYGGCCUACCAAGGCGAUGAUGCAUAGCCGAGUUGAGAGACUGAUCGGCCACAAUGGGACUGAGACACGGCCCAUACUCCUACGGGAGGCAGCAGUAGGGAAUCUUCCACAAUGGGCGCAAGCCUGAUGGAGCAACACCGCGUGAGUGAAGAAGGGUUUCGGCUCGUAAAGCUCUGUUGUUAAAGAAGAACACGUAUGAGAGUAACUGUUCAUACGUUGACGGUAUUUAACCAGAAAGUCACGGCUAACUACGUGCCAGCAGCCGCGGUAAUACGUAGGUGGCAAGCGUUAUGCGGAUUUAUUGGGCGUAAAGAGAGUGCAGGCGGUUUUCUAAGUCUGAUGUGAAAGCCUUCGGCUUAACCGGAGAAGUGCAUCGGAAACUGGAUAACUUGAGUGCAGAAGAGGGUAGUGGAACUCCAUGUGUAGCGGUGGAAUGCGUAGAUAUAUGGAAGAACACCAGUGGCGAAGGCGGCUACCUGGUCUGCAACUGACGCUGAGACUCGAAAGCAUGGGUAGCGAACAGGAUUAGAUACCCCUGGGUAGUCCAUGCCGUAAACGAUGAGUGCUAGGUGU
rnacentral:rRNA from 1 species